AUGAAUAAGCAUAUGACUUACAUUACCAAAGGUGUAUAUGGACAUAUGAACUAGCUUACCAGCAGUGAUUUUAAUCACCAUGCUGGAUCUUAAAAUGAUCUGUAUUAAAUUCAAUAUAUCUUUCCCAGGUGUUUCCAGUAAAAAUAUCCUACCUGUUCGGCAACCAGAUCACCUAUAUAACAAAAUAUAAAAAUGUUGAAGGUGAACGAUAUGAGUAAUGAUAUAUGCUUCCAAUAAAAACAUCCUACCUGUUCGGCAACCAAUUCGCCUAUAUAACAAAAUAUGAAAAUAUUGAAGGUAAUCGAUGCGAUUAUUAUUACAGUUUUUUAUUGCAUGCGUACCACAAUUAGAUAAUAUCCGAGAAGACACAUAUUCAUUGUACAGCCUAAAAAUUCUACAAAAGAUAUUUGUUGAAGCGCUCUUUCUGUAAGUGCCAAAAAUCUGAAAUGUGAC